GACGAACGCUGGCGGCGUGCCUAAUACAUGCAAGUUGAGCGCUGAAGGUUGGUACUUGUACCAACUGGAUGAGCAGCGAACGGGUGAGUAACGCGUGGGGAAUCUGCCUUUGAGCGGGGGACAACAUUUGGAAACGAAUGCUAAUACCGCAUAAAAACUUUAAACACAAGUUUUAAGUUUGAAAGAUGCAAUUGCAUCACUCAAAGAUGAUCCCGCGUUGUAUUAGCUAGUUGGUGAGGUAAAGGCUCACCAAGGCGAUGAUACAUAGCCGACCUGGGAGGGUGAUCGGCCACAUUGGGACUGAGACACGGCCCAAACUCCUACGGGAGGCAGCAGUAGGGAAUCUUCGGCAAUGGACGAAAGUCUGACCGAGCAACGCCGCGCGAGUGAAGAAGGUUUUCGGACCGUAAAACUCUGUUGGUAGAGAAGAACGUUGGUGAGAGUGGAAAGCUCAUCAAGUGACGGUAACUACCCAGAAAGGGACGGCUAACUACGUG
rnacentral:rRNA from 1 species